rnacentral:rRNA from 1 species
UACGAAGGGGGCUAGCGUUGCUCGGAAUCACUGGGCGUAAAGCGCACGUAGGCGGCUUUUUAAGUCGGGGGUGAAAUCCUGGAGCUCAACUCCAGAACUGCCUUCGAUACUGGAAAGCUCGAGUCCGGGAGAGGUGAGUGGAACUGCGAGUGUAGAGGUGAAAUUCGUAGAUAUUCGCAAGAACACCAGUGGCGAAGGCGGCUCACUGGCCCGGUACUGACGCUGAGGUGCGAAAGCGUGGGGAGCAAACAGG